CCUACGGGUGGCAGCAGUGAGGAAUAUUGGUCAAUGGACGAGAGUCUGAACCAGCCAAGUAGCGUGAAGGAUGAAUGCCCAAUGGGUUGUAAACCUCUUUUAUAUGGGAAUAAAGUGUUCCACGUGUGGGAGGUUGUAUGUACCAUAUGAAUAAGGAUCGGCUAACUCCGUGCCAGCAGCCGCGGUAAUACGGAGGAUCCGAGCGUUAUCCGGAUUUAUUGGGUUUAAAGGGAGCGUAGGUGGUUUGUUAAGUCAGUUGUGAAAGUUUGCGGCUCAACCGUAAAAUUGCAGUUGAAACUGGCAGUCUCGAGUACAGUAGAGGUGUGCGGAAUGCGUGGUGUAGCGGUGAAAUGCUUAGAUAUCACGAAGAACUCCGAUUGCGAAGGCAGUUCACUGGACUGCAACUGACACUGAGGCUCGAAAGUGUGGGUAUCAAACAGGAUUAGAUACCCGGGUAGUC
rnacentral:rRNA from 1 species